GUGUGCUGUGCGCUUUCCUGCAGGGACCGCUCCGCCUACCCUUUUCGCAAUGUUGACGCAAUCUAUAAAUAGUAGAACAAAAGGACAACUUCCUUGAAGCUUGCUGAAACUGCAUAAAAGGAUAAAUGUUGACGUUAGAGAACAUGAGCCCCGAUAUUUUUGCGAAGUUUUGUUUUCUAAAGAGUACACGUUCUAAGAGUUGGAUUACAUGAGAUGUUCGAGUGUCAUACAUGAAAGAUUAUUUGGAGCGUUCAACUUACGUGAGGUACUCGGCGUAAGGAGAUUGACAGACCGGACCUCCAUUCAAUAGUCAACCUAAAAUUGGGAAAAUUCCAAAUUAGGACAGUGAUGGCGUCACCGACCCAAUCAUCGAUGUUCAGCGUGGCCAUGAGGGUGGGACAUCCGCUUUCGCGGAGUACUUUGUUGCAAACAAUAAGCCAUUUACAAUACUGAGAACUGAAGAGGGUGGCUGUUGUAUUUUGUAAUGACCGAUUCAGAGUAGAACUUGGGCAAGUAGGCCGGCGUAUGGACGAAAUAAACGGAAAGUAUCGCUUCAAACAAAAGUUCGCAUUUUCACCGGACUACUUGACGAUGGGUUGGAUUUUUAUUUUAAAAAAUUGUGCAUGAUGAGAGUAAAGGAUUUACAGGAGAAUUUGAAAGGAGCUUGUAAAAUCCCUACGAUGAGCCACACUGACUGAAAUGAGCCUUUGUAUGAUUUGCAAGAGCACCUGGAAAUGCUGUCAAUGCUUCACAAUCACAUACAGCCUUGGUCCAAGGUGUCACGAUUUAGGGAUUCUGAUUCAGUCACUCAUGACAGGGACAGAUUGCUCUGCUCUGGUGGAUUCAUCUAUGACUGUAAAAAUUUUCAGUUGGUAGUGAUUGCCAGUUUAGAAGAUGAUAUCUAAUGAGCCACAGUAAAUUUUGUGUAGGUGCUUCACCAUGCUGCAACUAUGCAUUGGUGAAGGAAAUGAAUGGCGUUAGAUCCACAGUCAAGUGGCCUGCAUUGUUCUGGUUGGUGUCAAGCCUCCUGAUUGUUAAGAGUUGAACUUUAUCCAGGCAUUUGAGGAGUAUUCUACCACCCACCUGAUUGUGUGUGCAUCAUGGACAGGGAGACCAAGUCAAGUUGAAAGUGCAAGCGAGCAGGCUCUCAGCUGAAUUCUAACUCUCUCCAAUAUGAGACAAACUUAACCUGGAGUGCAUCUGUUUAUAAUGUAAAUGCAGAGGGCAGCUGAAAUUACUGCCCAAACCUUUAUUGUAUUGCACACUGAAAGGCAAUAUUCUCUUGUAUUAGUUUAAAAGAAUCCAGUUUGUAUUUGUUUAUGGCAAUGAUAUUUAUAAUGUUUUAAUACUGAAAUAUGAAAUAAAUAAUUAAGAUUCAAUUAA